rnacentral:rRNA from 1 species
AGAACAUUCGACAAUGGGCGAAAGCCUGAUCGAGCGACGCCGCGUGCAGGAAGAAGGGCUUCGGCCUGUAAACUGCUUUUGCGUGGGAAGAACUUUGACGGUACCACGAGAAUAAGGGGUUGCUAACCUCGUGCCAGCAGCAGCGGUAAUACGAGGACCCCGAGCGUUAUCCGGAAUUACUGGGCGUAAAGCGUGAGCAUCCGGCCAUGCUAGUCUCAUGUUAAAUCUCACUGCUCAACGGUGAGACCGCGUGGGAAACGGCACGGCUAGAGUGGGUAAGAGGCAAGCGGAACGUGCAGUGUAGGGGUGAAAUCCAUUGAUAUUGCACGGAACACCAAAAGCGAAAGCAGCUUGCUAGUGCUCUACUGACGGUCAAUCACUAAAGCGUGGGGAUCAAAA